ensembl:lncRNA
GUGAGCGUGUGUGUUUACGGAGGGGAUGGGAGUGGGUUUGAUAACAGAUGGUUAGUUUUGAACUCCUCUUUGACCUGUCCAACACACACACACACACAAAAAUAAAAAUCUCUCAUCGCUUUCUUCGUCUGUGGCACACUGAGGGAGACGGAGGCACAUAAAUGAAGCCUCUCGUGCUGAACAUAAAGCCCCGUGGAGGAUAUCUAACUCCUUAUUUCUGGUCUUCUGUCCAUCUGGAUCCAAGUUCUCCUGUCUGCUGUGUAAUAAUCAUUUUUAAGCUUUUCCAUGAGUGGAAACGUACAAGUUGGUAUCAAUUUGGAAAAAAAUUCUCAUGAAGUGAACAAUUACAAUUUAAAGGUAUAUAUUGCACUUUUUGUAAUUAAAAUAUGCCAAUAAAAUAAUGCUACGUACUACAUAAUAGUUACAGUAUUUAAUAAAUAACUAUUUUUGUAGUCGGGGGGAUCACUGCUAAAUCUGAAUACAUCCACUACUGUUGACGUGUUAGAGACAAUAAAGAAAAUAGCCACACUUUUAAUCUGCACAUGCCAUGCCAGCAAAAGUCAAAAGUAUAUGUGUGCAGGUCAUUUAAAUUUUUAUAGAAUAUAGUUGUGUUUUAUAAACAGCAACUGAAUAUUAAUUUGGUUUAUUUGGAAAUGUAAUUGGCACCAAAAACAACAUCUUUCCAGGUCGUGUCCUAAAUCAGCCCCUAAAAUGCUUCUGUAUUCUGUAAUUAUAAAGUCUAUAUUAAUGGUACUCUCAAUUAGUUUAUCUAUUUAUACACAAUAAUAUGUAAAUAUUUGUUUUGUGUGUGUUUAAAAAGCUAGCCAGAUGUGUUAUUUGUGGUCGCUGUCUGUGAGGAUGACAGCUACAGGUUUAAGGCAGGUUAAACUUCCUGUUAAUGGUGGAUUCAGAUGGACAGAAACACAUUUUAGGCAGCAGAAAUAACCUCAGUUUAAAAGCAGCAGCCAAAAACUGUCGGUGAGCUUGACGAGCAGGACACAGAGUGAAUGUCGGUGUAGGUACUGAACUGAAAAUGUCUAUUUUUAAAGGGUUUUACUGUGGUGAACCUGAGACUUCCACUAAAAUGUCCAACUCACGUGCAGCUGCUGCGCUCCUCAUCAUUUUUAAUUCACUUUUAAUAAACUUUUUUCUCUUUUUUUUUGCCUUUUUGAAGAACCUUUUAAAAAGUACUUUCAUUUAUAAUUUAACCCACUUUUAUGAACUUCCUCUCUGCACUUUCUGCUGCCUUCUCCAGUGCUACAGCCCAGCAUUAUCCCUCAGUGAAUGUCAGCAUUGAGAGACGAAUCAGUGAUAUAAUGUAGUUUUGUCCCAUUUUGGACGCCCGUCUCCUUCUGUGUCCUCGUUGCACUCUUUUCAGACCUCAUAAUGGCUCACUGCUUUGUAAAGCAAUUCUCAGUUGAGUGUUUUUUUCUUCUUGAAAUUCAGCCUUGUUAUUUUUCAGUCGGUGCUCAAAAAACUGGUCUGUUAGACAUUAAAAAUGUCAUGUUUUUAAUUGUGGACGAUUAUGCAAUUAACUGAACUUAGAUGAUUGGUUUCACAUAUGACCUUGAGAUAAAACAAGUUUUACUGAGGGGAAAGGAGUGGAGCCAAACGCCUGUCUAACCUCAUCACAAGUCUGAUUGAGAGGGCACUUUGAAGGAGACCUGCAUCUAUAAUGGGACAAAUAUUUUCUUUUGAGAUGUGAGUGAUGAGGUUAAAGGUGUGUUAGAGGAAGAAAAUAUUCAGAGCGGAAGCCAAACCCUUACUUUACAGAUUUUAUGAUGUUGGACAGAGGAGGAUUUUGAAGGGCACAUUGAAGCACGUGAAUAAGUGAGGCUGGGAGAGAGUGUGAGAGUGUUUUUCCUGGGGGGCAGGGCUGAGGGAGGGUGGGGUUCAGCUGCUAGAUGAUAUAAGACUAAGUUGUUCGUCUGUAGUUUUCCAUCAAUCAAUCGACUCUUCUUUUAAUUUACCUUUUUUUUCCCAAUAAGAUUUGCCUUUAUCCAAUCACACCGGUGUACAAACCAACUGACUUUUAACAUCCGCUGUAUUAUAGUAAAUAAAAAUGAUUUUCAGAAAUGGAAAAACUCUAAAAGAUCUUUUUUUUCUUUGUUUGCUCUCCAUAAUGUUUCCAAAUAAAGAUUCUUUUUUUCCAAA